rnacentral:rRNA from 1 species
UGGGGAAUUUUGGACAAUGGGCGAAAGCCUGAUCCAGCAAUGCCGCGUGUGUGAAGAAGGCCUUCGGGUUGUAAAGCACUUUUGUCCGGAAAGAAAUCCUUGGCUCUAAUACAGUCGGGGGAUGACGGUACCGGAAGAAUAAGCACCGGCUAACUACGUGCCAGCAGCCGCGGUAAUACGUAGGGUGCAAGCGUUAAUCGGAAUUACUGGGCGUAAAGCGUGCGCAGGCGGUUUGCUAAGACCGAUGUGAAAUCCCCGGGCNCAACCUGGGAACUGCAUUGGUGACUGGCAGGCUAGAGUAUGGCAGAGGGGGGUAGAAUUCCACGUGUAGCAGUGAAAUGCGUAGAGAUGUGGAGGAAUACCGAUGGCGAAGGCAGCCCCCUGGGCCAAUACUGACGCUCAUGCACGAAAGCGUGGGGAGCAAACAGGAUUAGAUACCCUGGUAGUCCACGCCCUAAACGAUGUCAACUAGUUGUUGGGGAUUCAUUUCCUUAGUAACGUAGCUAACGCGUGAAGUUGACCGCCUGGGGGAGUACGGUCGCAAGAUU